rnacentral:sRNA from 1 species
AAAGCUGUAUCAUAAAAUAAUCUAAUAUUAUUUUAGUGAUAAAUUAAGUAGUUGGUAGUUAUUGGAUACUCAUAAAAAUAAUAUGUUUGUUAGAAUAUUUUUGCUGAUUUUAUUUUUUUAAUGAAAUAUUCUAUUUUUGAACAUUUUCUAUUUUUGAACAAGAGAUAAAGUACAGGGUGGUUGUGUUUUUAUACAUGUGCCAAACUUGAAAGUUGAUUUUACAUGUAUAUUUAAAAGUUGGGUACAAUCCAAAUUGUGAAAUACUCAUUAACACAGUGUACAUAUUUACUGGGGUGUAACAUCUUUUGAGAAGUUAGAUCCUGUUUAAUAUUAUUUUUAAAUCAAAUUUCAUUCCAUGCAAACAAAUUGAGGGUUUCCUCUAAAUUGCAUGUUUGCAUGUAAAUUCAAGCAUUUGACAAUCACAAAGCAAGUGGUAACUGUUGAAUUGAACUUUGCAUUUCUUAUGAACUGAUAUACUUAGCAACGUAUUAUCCUGAAUAUGCUCACACUUCUAUGAAAUCCAUCCUUACCUUUUUGUAUAUACACUGUAUAGAAAUCAAAGAAGGUUUUUUUAAUCUUUGUUAUUUUGUUCUAUGUAUAUGAACAUCCCAUGACCCCUCAACCCUUUCUAAACAAUGUACUUGGUUUCUUGUAUCAGGUGUUUGUUACUGAUUUAAAAUUUAAAUUCAAUUUUUAUGUUGGAUGAUUUUUUUUAUUUUCAAUUUUUUGAUUUAUAUUAUUAAAUGUUAAUACCUUUACAAAACCUAUAGCAUAUUCAAAAGAUUAAUUUAUAUCUGAAAUGAUUUUUUUCUCUUUACAAUUUACAUUGGAAUUUUUAUUCAGUCAAUAAACAUUUUCUUGUAAAGAAAAAAUGUUAAAAUGUAAAAAGUACACGUACAUAUUUGUAAUCCUUUUUUCAUUUUAUCUAUAACGUUUAUAGAUCCUACCGAUCAUUCACAGAUUCAUGUAGUUAGUUGUUAAAUAGAUAGUUACAUUGAGUUUUUUUUAUCAAAUUUCAAUUUCAGGUAUGCAUGUGUCAAUCAUUCACAUGUCAACCAUACAUCAACAAAAUAUUUAUGUUUUCUUUUAUAUGUUUCUUAGUAACAAGUAAUGAAUUAUGUAAAUAUAGUAAGUGAUAUGAUAAAAUGGUGCCAUGUUUUGCCAAUGUUUGCCUUGAUUCUCUUUAGUAGUGCUGCAUCUUAAAUUAAUGUCAAGAAAUAAAAAUAUAUUAAAACUAAAAUAAAGUUUUUUAACUGGAUGUAAUUGUGGUUUAUCUUUGAAUUUCUAUACAUGUAUCAUUGAAAUGAGAAUAUUUACUAAUGUACAAUUCCAGUAAUUCGAAAUGGCUGUCCAAUAUUGUUGGUUGUUUGUUGUUUGUUUUGCAGUAUAUGUAUUGAUAUAUGCCUUGCCAAAUAAAGUUUUAUUUUUUAAUAUCU